UACGUAGGGCGCAAGCGUUAUCCGGAAUUAUUGGGCGUAAAGAGCUCGUAGGCGGUUUGUCGCGUCUGCCGUGAAAGUCCGGGGCUCAACUCCGGAUCUGCGGUGGGUACGGGCAGACUAGAGUGAUGUAGGGGAGACUGGAAUUCCUGGUGUAGCGGUGAAAUGCGCAGAUAUCGUAAGGAAGACCAGUGGCGAAGGCGAAUCUCUGGACAGUUACUGACACUGAGGCACGAAGGCCAGGGGAGCAAACGGG
rnacentral:rRNA from 1 species